CAGUCAGGGAUACACACUCGUAUGCUCAGGAGUCAGGACAGUCUGGAAUACAAGCGCAGCUCAUAUGUUGAGUACAGUAAAGUACACAUGCACACUUAUACUCAGUACAGUCAAGGAUAAAGCCUUUUUUCUCAUUUCUACUAUGUGAUGAUCAGAAAAGGGGUACUCCGGCGCAAAGACGUUGUAUCCCCAUUGUAUCCCCUGUUAGCCUCUGAGCGCCCACAUCUUGAGAUCUUCCUGCUGCACCGAGGGUCCGUGACGAAAUACACUACGAGGACGAUCAUAUCAGUAGACCCUUAGAUGGGCAUUGAGAAUUGACUGAAAAGGCUGAAAAUAUGAAAACCAAAACCAAACCAUGUCGGGUUUUGCGCCAUCGUAAAGAGUUUUUUCCAGGAUAAUUAUGUUUUUUUAUAUUUUGCUGUGGCUGGUAAAAAAAAUUUAAUAAAAAAUUUAAUUUACCUGUCCCAGUCCCCCCCACAGUUCCUGUUCCAGUUACUUCCAGUCCUCUGCUGCUCACAGCUUCUCUCUGCUUCGAGAUGAGAUGUCUUAGCAUGACUUGUCCGAUCAGAAACAGUUGGAGUUUAUUUAUAUGUUCAUACAUAUUUUUUGGACCAUUUGUUGAGACAAAAGUUGGAGCAACAGUUGAAGAUCCACACAACCAUAGUGAAAUAACAAGUAUUACUUACUAUCUCCCACAGGUUUAACAGCAAAGUUAGUGCACUGUUGUUUGAAUAACUGUUAAUGUAACAAUGCUGAUGAAUUAAUAGACUUCAGGACCAGUCUUAAUCUUUAGCA